GCUUGCUGUUUCGCUGACGAGUGGCGGACGGGUGAGUAAUGUCUGGGAAACUGCCUGAUGGAGGGGGAUAACUACUGGAAACGGUAGCUAAUACCGCAUAACGUCGCAAGACCAAAGAGGGGGACCUUCGGGCCUCUUGCCAUCAGAUGUGCCCAGAUGGGAUUAGCUAGUAGGUGGGGUAACGGCUCACCUAGGCGACGAUCCCUAGCUGGUCUGAGAGGAUGACCAGCCACACUGGAGCUGAGACACGGUCCAGACUCCUACGGGAGGCAGCAGUGGGGAAUAUUGCACAAUGGGCGCAAGCCUGAUGCAGCCAUGCCGCGUGUAUGAAGAAGGCCUUCGGGUUGUAAAGUACUUUCAGCGGGGAGGAAGGGAGUAAAGUUAAUACCUUUGCUCAUUGACGUUACCCGCAGAAGAAGCACCGGCUAACUCCGUGCCAGCAGCCGCGGUAAUACGGAGGGUGCAAGCGUUGAUCGGAAUUACUGGGCGUAAAGCGCACGCAGGCGGUUUGUUAAGUCAGAUGUGAAAUCCCCGGGCUCAACCUGGGAACUGCAUCUGAUACUGGCAAGCUUGAGUCUCGUAGAGGGGGGUAGAAUUCCAGGUGUAGCGGUGAAAUGCGUAGAGAUCUGGAGGAAUACCGGUGGCGAAGGCGGCCCCCUGGACGAAGACUGACGCUCAGGUGCGAAAGCGUGGGGAGCAAACAGGAUUAGAUACCCUGGUAGUCCACGCCGUAAACGAUGUCGACUUGGAGGUUGUGCCCUUGAGGCGUGGCUUCCGGAGCUAACGCGUUAAGUCGACCGCCUGGGGAGUACGGCCGCAAGGUUAAAACUCAAAUGAAUUGACGGGGGCCCGCACAAGCGGUGGAGCAUGUGGUUUAAUUCGAUGCAACGCGAAGAACCUUACCUGGUCUUGACAUCCACGGAAGUUUUCAGAGAUGAGAAUGUGCCUUCGGGAACCGUGAGACAGGUGCUGCAUGGCUGUCGUCAGCUCGUGUUGUGAAAUGUUGGGUUAAGUCCCGCAACGAGCGCAACCCUUAUCCUUUGUUGCCAGCGGUCCGGCCGGGAACUCAAAGGAGACUGCCAGUGAUAAACUGGAGGAAGGUGGGGAUGACGUCAAGUCAUCAUGGCCCUUACGACCAGGGCUACACACGUGCUACGAUGGCGCAUACAAAGAGAAGCGACCUCGCGAGAGCAAGCGGACCUCAUAAAGUGCGUCGUAGUCCGGAUUGGAGUCUGCAACUCGACUCCAUGAAGUCGGAAUCGCUAGUAAUCGUGGAUCAGAAUGCCACGGUGAAUACGUUCCCGGGCCUUGUACACACCGCCCGUCACACCAUGGGAGUGGGUUGCAAAAGAAGUAGGUAGCUUAACCUUCGGGAGGGCGCUUACCACUUUGUGAUUCAUGACUGGGGUGAAGUCGGAACAAGGUAACCGUAGGGGAACCUGCGGUUG
rnacentral:rRNA from 1 species